rnacentral:sRNA from 1 species
UGGCGACUUGCGGAAUUGUUUUGGAAUUCCCGUUUUCGAUAUUUUUGUUAUUUCUCGCUAUAAAUGGUGUUUACACAGAAAAAGAAACAAGAAAGACGCAAGAAAUGAUUUAUGUUGGAAUCAAUUACUUUUCACCAUGUAUAAGAAGAUUGAAUGCAACUCACCAAAUAGGCUGUACCAGUGCCAUACACGGUAACACCGGUGUUUUACAUUACAUUGAUAAUGAUGCAAGUUUGAAUUGGCUUGUUAAUAAAGGCCCACAUGGUCCAUAUAUACCCUUAAUGACAGCUGAUAUGUUUACAUUUAAAAAUUUACAGAUGCUGCAGAAGUCCGGUAAAAUAAAUGGUAUUAUGGUGAUACAUCUUGCUGAUCAAGCGCCCCCUAGUGGUGGAUUUUCACCAGAUUACCAGUGUCCCAAUCAAGAGUAUGGUUUGUACCCGGACUCUGAUUGCUCCCAGUUUCCAUGGAACCCAUUAGGAUCUGGAAUGAUGUAUGUGGAUUACGAGUACCCCAUAUUUGCAAUGACCGAUGAAAAUGAAGUGCGCCAUCUCAUACAGUAUUAUUACAAAGAAAAUAACCCAGUAAAUGAUACAAUACCAGAAUAUCCUCUGUGUGCAGUACAGUUAAGUGAUAGAAUGCACGCUGCUAAAGAUACCGAGACGUGCAUGAGAAGAAGCUCACGAUAUACAAACAUGGAACAAUUUGUUUACUGUGAUCCCCUUGGCAACCAGAAUGUAUUUGGGUUUCUAAAACCAACCAAUAAGUCAGAACCAUUGCAAAAUAAUUCUCUGAUUAUAGCUGCAUCUAAGCUGGACAGUGAUACACUAUUUUAUAACAUGAGUCCGGUUGCCGGUGCAGAAAAUGAUGUCACAGGAUUUGUCACUUUGUUAUCUGUCAUUGAAGCAUUGGGACGACUUUCACAAGAAACAAAAGACAACAUGUCAAACAUUAUGUUCACAUUUUUUCAAGGGGAAUCUUGGGACUACAUUGGUUCAUCUAGGAUGGUCUAUGACAUGCAGAGAGAUUCAUUUCCUAAUGUAUUGGUAGAAGACUUGGACCAACCAGCAUUAGUCAGUCUUUCGCAUAUAUCACACUUUUUAGAACUUAGACAAUUAGGACUGCUGAAUGCCUCAAAAUUGUGGGUUCAUUCUGAUCCCAGAAGUCAACAGGUCGACCCUAGAGUCGGACCAGAGAAUAAGAAGAUUUAUGACGCCCUGCAUGCGGCCGGUGUCCAGAAUGAUAUUGAUGUGAAUAGAAUUAUCAACACUGCACUUCCACCUGCAUCUUUACAACAGUUUCUUAAAAGGGGGAAUAUUAGUGGAGUAGUUGUUACUGAUCAUGAACAUAAAUUUGCAAAUAG